rnacentral:lncRNA from 1 species
GGUGCUGUAACCAUCUUUGGGCUUCAGAGAAAUCCGAAACAGAAGGAAACUGCAUAGUGAUAUGCUGUGUCAUAUGUACAAAAAUAAAAAAUGUAAAUAGAUGAGCCAUAUAAAUGUAUGCAGAGAUUGACAAUUUUAUCUCUCAAUUGAUAUCGGUGCUUGAUUUUCUCUUUGGAGAAGCAUAAGUGGAAGAUUGGUCACACGAACCGGAAAUUCUGAACUUGACUGAAUGAGCUCCAGCUAAAAUAUACACCAACUCACUAUCAUUCUUUAGGAAAAAAAAAAGCUGAGAAAUCCACGUGAAGCUAGGUGCUACUUGAUAUAUAUGGAAACAACUCAGAACUAAAUGCACAGUUGCAAAUAACAUCAAACGACACAAAAUUUUCCACGGAGACAGUCGUAGUCAUGGAAGUACAACACAAUGUGAUCUCCCGGUUUCACCUAGAUGACCUCUACAGUAUCGAGUGAGUACACUUGAAAAGUCUCCCAGGUCAAAAAUUAGCAACCGUACAUCAUGAUGGAAAAACAAAUAUCUAUGACGCAGCUUCACGAAUUCUACGAUUGGGACGAGACCCACACAUAAAAAAUCGUCCAAAAUCCACAACCAAUUCUCGGAGACUUACCUCAGGCGGGGGGGGGAGGGGGGGGGGGGGUAGCGGCGGCUGGAGCAGAACGGCCCUGACGGAGGCCCCCAAUGGGACGACAGACCCCCCCUGCCCCCUUCCCUUUCCCCGUAGCUUCAUCGACCACGCAUUUCCACCGCCUCCCGUCCACCUCCUCCAUGCAAUUGAGCUAAUUUUUUUUAAAUAAUCCAAUUUUUUUAAUCAUUUUCAAAAAUAAUACGCGUUUUUAUUUUUUUUUAAAUAUGCUCAUCCGGUGACCGUGAGGCUGCUCGAGGUUGGGGUUCGCACGCUUCAAGGGUAAAUCAUAAUCUCUCACGUAUUUAUCCUAUAAUGUAUAUGUUUAUGAGGAUAUGUGUGUACGUAUAUAUAGAAGUAUGUUUUAGCGUUUGGUAGUGCUCAUUAUUUUGGACAACUGUUAAUGUCGUACUGCUUAGUAUUUGAUGCAUCUAAAUAUUAUGGCCGGGAGUAAUAUGUUUGAUAGAAUAGAUUUUUUUUUGAUGCCUUACUGCUUAGUAUUUGACGCGUAUUAAUAUUUUUAAUAUGCCGUACUGCUUAGUAUUUGACGCGUCUAAACAUUUUUAAUAUGCCGUACUUGUGAUUAUUUAACGCGUACUAAUAUUUUUAAUAUGCCGUACUGCUUAGUAUUUGACGCGUGUAAACAUUUUUAAUAUGCCGUACUGCUAAAUAUUUGACGCGUCAUAAUAUUUUUUAUAUGCCGUACUGGUUAGUAUUUGACGCGAAUUAAUAUUUUUUAUAUGCCGUACUGGUUAGUAUUUGACACGUAUUAAUAUUUUUAAUAUGCCGUACUGGUUAGUAUUUGACGCGUAUUAAUAUUUUUAAUAUGCCGUACUGCUUAGUAUUUGACGCGUGUAAACAUUUUUAAUAUGCCGUACUGGUUAGUAUUUGACGCGUAUUAAUAUUUUUAAUAUGCUGUACUGGUUAGUAUUUGACGCGUA